rnacentral:misc_RNA from 1 species
CAAAAAAAUGCAGAAAAUGUUUUCCUGUAAAAUAUUUUCUAUGAAAAAACGAAGCCCAAGAUUUCUUUCUAACAUCUUUUGCACUUAUUAUUCUUUGUCUAUAAAUAGUUGUUCUGGACCUUUUUAUUCCUUUCACACUUCCAAUAAAAUUCCCAAAAAUUACUCCAAUAAUAUACCAUUAAUUAAAAAUCCCAAACAACAUCAAAUUUCUUAUUGUUUCACUUUCAAUUCACAAUGUGCAUUACAGAACUCUUUCCCUAGCUGCCAUAAUUCCAGCAGCUUUAAAGCUCCAUCAAUUUAAUUUCUCCUAAUUUCACCAUUUUCCAAUCACAUAACAUCACAUCCCAAAACCCUAAACCCAUUUUUUUUACCAAUAAUUUGCCUAUUUUACUAACUUGAGCUCAUAUUCAGACAUACAACAUGCCCUGCAUCAUUGUAUUCUUUUGCCUAUUUGAUAAUAGAAUUCUUAUACUGCAGCAUAUUAAGCUAUGCUCACAUAAAGUUAAAUUACAACUUCACCAUUUCUAUAUUCCCUUAGGCAGAUGAGAUGAUG